rnacentral:rRNA from 1 species
AGUGGAUGGGGAGCAACCUAGUUGUACGUGUGUAAAGGUAGUGCCAAGAAAAGCGGUGAUCAUGAUGAAAAUCAAUUCCCGGUACCCGAAACUGACACAGGUGGGCAAGUAGAGAAUACUAAGGGGCGCGAGGUAACUCUCUCCAAGGAACUCGGCAAAAUGACCCCGUAACUUAGGGAGAAGGGGUGCCACCGAGAGGUGGUCGCAGUGAAGAGGCCCAGGCGACUGUUUAGCAAAAACAUAGGUCUCUGCAAACUCGAAAGAGGAGGUAUAGGGGCUGACGCCUGCCCAGUGCCGGAAGGUUAAAGAAGUUGGUCAGUCUUAGGAUGAAGCUAGCGACUGAAGCCCCGGUGAACGGCGGCCGUAACUAUAACGGUCCUAAGGUAGCGAAAUUCCUUGUCGGGUAAGUUCCGACCCGCACGAAAGGCGUAACGAUCUGGGCGCUGUCUCGGAGAGAGGCUCGGCGAAAUAGGAUUGUCUGUGAAGAUACGGACUACCUGCAUUUGGACAGAAAGACCCUAUGAAGCUUUACUAUAGCUUGGAAUUGUGUUCGGGCUUCCUGUGCGCAGGAUAGGUGGGAGGCGUAGAAGGUAUUCUUGUGGGGAUACUGGAGCCAACGGUGAGAUACCACUCUCAGGAGGCUAGAAUUCUAACUUAAUUAAGGACAGUUUCAGGUGGGUAGUUUGACUGGGGCGGUCGCCUCCAAAAAGGUAACGGAGGCGUACAAAGGUUCCCUCAGACUGGUUGGAAAUCAGUCGAAGAGUGCAAAGGCAGAAGGGAGCUUGACUGCGAGAAGUACAGUUCGAGCAGGGUGGAAACACGGUCUUAGUGAUCCGACGGUGCUGUGUGGAAGGGCCGUCGCUCAACGGAUAAAAGUUACUCUAGGAUAACAGGCUGAUCUCCCCCAAGAGUUCACAUCGACGGGGAGGUUUGGCACCUCGAUGUCGGCUCAUCGCAACCUGGGGCGGAGGUACGUCCCAAGGGUUGGGCUGUUCGCCCAUUAAAGCGGUACGUGAGCUGGGUUCAGAACGUCGUGAGACAGUUCGGUCCAUAUCCGAUGUAGGCGUGAGAAUAUUGAGAGGAGCCUUCCUUAGUACGAGAGGACCGGGAAGGACGCACCGCUGGUGUACCUGUUAUGAUGCCAAUUGUAAACGCAGGGUAGCCAAGUGCGGAGAGGAUAACCGCUGAAAGCAUCUAAGUGGGAAGCCCACCUCAAGAUGAGUAUUCUGGUGUAAGGUCACGGGAAGACGACCCGUAAAUAGGCACGAGGUGGAAGUGCAGAGAUGUAUGAAGCCGAAGUGUACUAAUAGACCGUCGGCUUGAUA